GGCUCAGGAUGAACGCUAGCUACAGGCUUAACACAUGCAAGUCGAGGGGAACGAUAUUGGAAGCUUGCUUCUGAUAGGCGUCGACCGGCGCACGGGUGAGUAACGCGUAUCCAACCUGCCCAUCACUUGGGGAUAACCUUGUGAAAGUAAGACUAAUACCCAAUGACGUCUCUAGAAGACAUCUGAAAGAGAUUAAAGAUUUAUCGGUGAUGGAUGGGGAUGCGUCUGAUUAGCUUGUUGGCGGGUAACGGCCCACCAAGGCGACGAUCAGUAGGGGUUCUGAGAGGAAGGUCCCCCACAUUGGAACUGAGACACGGUCCAAACUCCUACGGGAGGCAGCAGUGAGGAAUAUUGGUCAAUGGACGAGAGUCUGAACCAGCCAAGUAGCGUGCAGGAUGACGGCCCUAUGGGUUGUAAACUGCUUUUAUAAGGGAAUAAAGUGGGAGUCGUGACUCUUUUGCAUGUACCUUAUGAAUAAGGACCGGCUAAUUCCGUG
rnacentral:rRNA from 1 species